UUAUGGGUUGAUCCAACCCAUUU
rnacentral:snRNA from 1 species